GACAGAGGGUGCAAACGUUGUUCGGAAUUACGUGGCGUAAAGCGUGUGUAGGCGGUCUCAUAAGUCGGAUGUGAAAGCCCCGGGCUCAACCCGGGAAGUGCAUUCGAAACUGCGAGGCUAGAGUAUCGGAGAGGUUGGUGGAAUUCUCGGUGUAGAGGUGAAAUUCGUAGAUAUCGAGAGGAGCACGGUGGCGAAGGCGGCCAACUGGACGAAUACUGACGCUGAGACACGAAAGCGUGGGGAGCAAACAGG
rnacentral:rRNA from 1 species